CAACAUCCCAAACGAGCAAACAAUGGUCCUUGACAUCUUUUUUCUCUCGCCAACACCCCCACCCCACCCCCAUUCCCCAUAGAGGAGGCAAAAAAGGUAAAGGGGGCAGUUGGAUGUUUCUUGAAAGGAUCACCCGCUUCGCUUUCUCCAUCCUUCCUGCUUCCAUCCAGACUUCCUGUCACCCUAGCCCUGGAGCAUCAGAAACAGAAACUCAGGCUGGCGUCGAGGCUGGAUGUGAAGGACUCCACGCCUCUGCCCGUCAGACCCCAGUUUCCUAAAGUGACUUAGUAGCAAAGUCUAGGGUGUUCGGAGAUGGGGGGGGGGAGGGCGGUGGACAGAAUGGUGCUAAGUUGAGAGCGGAUGGUGGUUUCGCUUAGUCCUCAGCCUCGCACUUGCUCCAUCAUCUAAAGUGUUAAAAAAAAAAAAAAAAAGCUCUUGGGUCCCGCCGAAAGAGCGCAUAAAGAGAUGAGGUACAAUGACCGUCCUCUCCCUUUGUAGGGUUUCUAAUUUAUGCGUCUUUAGACUCUCGAGCAUCAUUUUGUGGGCAACCAACCGGGCACUUUCAAAUUAGCUCAAAGUAUCCAAAUCCAAAGAAGAGAAAACACACAGAGACACAAAUACACGGAUGCUAAUUUGUAAGUAUUCUGUUUCUGCUCUGUGGGGAUAGAGGUUAGAUAAGGGAAAGAGGUUAGGUUUUCCUGUGUUCUGACGUUUCCUGUUCAGCUCGCACCUGUAGAGAUCUGUACAGGUAUCUUUCCCUUUUGUUUUCCUCCUGCACCCCCCCUCCCCCGAGUGAAAAUAUCCAACUUUGGGUUUACUGGCCUAUCACUACAGUAAUCAAAAAAAAGGAAAGAACACACCCCAAAAGUCCAAAAUUUCUAGCUGUUCGAAAUGGGUCUUUUUAUUGUUCAAAAAAUAUAAUCUACUUAAAAAUGUGAAAUGGGUACAGACAUCAGGUGAAAAUGAUACUUUCCCUUGAAAGAUACGCAAAUGUAGAUAAAUGUUUCUUUUUUUAAAAACUUUGUCAUCCUUUGAUUUGUCAAUUUACCUGCAUAGCAUAGAAGAACUUAAGACAUUGUGAACUUUCUUAUGAAUGCUGAACAUGACAAAGAAUAAGACAAAAGAAGUCUGUGAAGCAUAUUGACUAAAAUUUGAAAACAGUGCUUCACUUAAAACUGCCAGAGAAACGAAGAUGCAGUUUUUAAGGUUUCCUGGAGACUGGGGUAGGAGAAAGAAAAACAGGGAGAGUGCUUUCUUAAGCAAGAUUUUAUUGUUUAAAACAGAAGAACAGGAUGUAAGAAAACAAUUCCAGUUUAACCUAUUAGAACAUAAAAUCUAAUAGUACACAUCUUGAAGUGGUUCCUGCUACAAGUCUGAUGACAUCUGGAAAGCUCACACCUUUGAAUAAAGAAAGCACCUUAUCAUGUCUGGAGGCUCUCUGUCACUUUCUGGCUGCUUGGGAACUUGAUACCCUAAUUAGUACUCCUUUACUAGAGGUAAACAGUUAUGAAAAAUAUCCACAAUCUUCAACAGUUCUUCCUCUCAGUUGUUUGGGUCUCAUUUCAGAAAUUGCAUAUCUUCGUGCUGAAAACACUGGAUGUGUGCAGAUGAUUCUGAAAACAUGUAUUCUGGAGGAUGUGUAUAUACAGAUGCAAAUUAGAAUAAUCCAGUUGAUACUUCAUUAAAGUAAAAAAAAAGAAAAAAGAAAAAAAUACUACCAAAGAGAACAUGGUGAAAAGAGAUGGCCCUGCCUCCCCAUCCUCCAGCCUUCUCUUCCCCUGCUCAGAGGCACAGUUACCUGAUUCUUCUGGAAAAUGUUGGUCAACCUCAGUGAAGGUGAAAGUGAAAGUCGUUUUUCCAAAUACGCAGUCCCACAACUAUCUCCAGAAGUAAUCACUAUGGAGGAUUUUCGGGAUAUCCAGUUAUUUGAAGACCAUUUGUUGAAUGGCCCUUCUGUUUUUGUUGAAAAGUAAUUCACCAUGUAUGUAUAUAUCUAAAAUUUCUGAGCUCUCACGCCUGUUUUAUUGAUCUAUAUGAGUAUAAAUCUCAAAGUUUUAAAAUUCAUUAAUGUGAUUAAGAUAUGUCUUUGGUUCCAUGAUUACUUUCUAGUUUCUAGAAAAUCUGUUUCAAUAUUAAAAGUAUUCAAGAGUGAAACAUUACAAAGAGGGUAGAACUAUUUCUUUCUUUGAACUCCAGUCUCUGUUUUUGUCUCACUCCGUCUUUCUGGCCUGAGUUUGGACUGCAGUGCUUGCAUCAAGAUAUGAGGGCCCCAGCUUCUCCCCUGCCUACGUUCAAAGCAAGACUUCUUUGGUUUCUUGACAAGAGCUGUA